CCCUAACAUAAUGAUUUAGACUUUCCAUAACUAAUGCAACUCCAACAACUUCACCGCCUUUAUAGUCUCACACCUACUCCAUCUUUGUUCUUCCUUGACUUCUAUAUAAAGAGCAAGGUGCACAGCCACUUGCAUGCUCAUCUAAAGAUCUUUCAUUCUCCAGGUGUUGCGGAUCCUCAAGAACCUCUAAUACAGAAAUCAC
rnacentral:misc_RNA from 1 species